UACGAAGGGGGGCUAGCGUUGUUCGGAUUUACUGGGCGUAAAGCGCACGUAGGCGGAUUGUUAAGUCAGGGGGUGAAAUCCCAGAGCUCAACUCUGGAACUGCCUUUGAUACUGGCGAUCUCGAGUCCGGGAGAGGUGAGUGGAACUGCGAGUGUAGAGGUGAAAUUCGUAGAUAUUCGCAGGAACACCAGUGGCGAAGGCGGCUUACUGGUCCAUUACUGACGCUGAGGUGCGAAAGCGUGGGGGAGCAAACAGG
rnacentral:rRNA from 1 species